rnacentral:rRNA from 1 species
CCUUACCUACCCUUGACAUGUCCUGAAGCCUGGAGAGAUCCGGGUGUGCCCGGAAAGGGAACGGGAACACAGGUGCUGCAUGGCUGUCGUCAGCUCGUGUCGUGAGAUGUUGGGUUAAGUCCCGCAACGAGCGCAACCUUGUCAUUAGUUGCUACAUUUGGUUGGGCACUCUAAUGAGACUGCCGGUGACAAACCGGAGGAAGGUGGGGAUGACGUCAAGUCCUCAUGGCCCUUAUGGGUAGGGCUUCACACGUAAUACAAUGGCGCGUACAGAGGGUUGCCAAGCCGCGAGGUGGAGCCAAUCCCAGAAAGCGCGUCGUAGUCCGGAUUGCAGUCUGCAACUCGACUGCAUGAAGUCGGAAUCGCUAGUAAUCGCGGAUCAGCAUGUCGCGGUGAAUACGUUCCCGGGUCUU